ensembl:lncRNA
CAAAGAUUUCAGAGCCAGGUGGGAGGGUGCGAUGCAAGAGGCUUAUCUCGGGCCUGCAAAGUGAAUAAUUAGUGGCAAGGGCUCCUAAAGAGGCCACGCCCUCAGAGGAAAGGUGGGCUGAGGACAACCUCCUGCUAUCAAAAGCAGAUAGUGAGGGUGCUGGCUUCGGCAGCACAUAUACUAAAAGCAGAUAGUGAGGAAAGAUGUUUUCUUGAGUCUGUGGAGGGCGAUAAAACAUCUCCCCCAGGAGUGGUAGCGUCAGGCUCACCCUCACAGAGGCUUUCGGCCCACAUGUGCAUUCAUUUUGUAGCCCAGAAAAGCUGUUAGUUAGAAAGUCAGUGGUGCCCAGAGCAGCCUAGCAAGAACAAGGGAAAAAUGGAAACAUAGGGACCCAGCAAAUGUGAGCUCACACAGAAAGCAAAAACCUACAAGAAAAGAAACAACCAUGAUUGAGAGGCAGCAGGCACAAUCUGCGACUACAGAGGCCGAAGACCUGACAACUGAUCUCACAGGAUACAGGGUCCCCACUGCCUGGGGACCACAGCACCUAUCAUCAGAGCCCAAGGUCCCUCCAUCCGGGGUUCCAGGUAAACACACAGGGGGAGCAUGACUCGACUGGAGACAAAAACCAAAUGCAUUUCAAGAAGAAAAGGGAGAAAAGGGCAGAGCCUCCUCUGUGAUGAGCAUGGGUACCAUAUUCUCCGCAGAGCAUGGCCCGCCCAGCCCAGCUGCUGUACUAGGCCAGAUACCACAUGUCCCUUCAGGAUGGUGGGAGUACUUAACCCUAGUUCCUGGGAGCCAGGCUGAACAGUUCGACCCCCCAGCUCUGUGUCAUCAUCAGGCCUGCAGCUCAGAUGCAUCUGCCUUCCACCACGGACACAGGCAGUGGCCACAGAGCUCUCAGCUUCCUUGGCAGCCUUCGUUCGGAGUCAUUUUCCUUCAGUGGGCAUCAGCACAGCUCAGUAGUGCCCAGCCAACCUCCUGGUUCUGUGGGCACCACCCCCAUCAUUUUGUGCUUCCAUGGGGCUCUCUUCCCCUGGCCUCCUCUAGUCAUCACCAGUGAAACUGCUGACAACAGAGCCUCCAUCUUGUCUUGGGGGCUGUCCACCCCUGCCCAGUGACCAGGAGGUGGCCUCUUUGUCCCCAAGAGGACCGUCCGAUGUGCCAACAACAAGCCUGCAGAGAUCGCAAUCCUGGGGAGCAGCCCAAAGCUUUGGUGUAAAUGAACCACUGGAUUUCAGCUCUCAUUUGCUGGGCCUUUGGACAAUUCCUCUCCCUACAGCAAGCUCAGUAGGUAUACAAAACACCCUAUGUAACAACUUUUGCCUACAGUCAAAUAAAGAUUGCAGCCC